rnacentral:rRNA from 1 species
AACGAACGUUAGCGGCGCGCUUAACACAUGCAAGUCGCACGAGAAAGGGCUUCGGCCCCGGUACAGUGGCGCACGGGUGAGUAACACGUGGGUAACCUGCCCUCGAGCGGGGGAUAACAUUCCGAAAGGAGUGCUAAUACCGCAUAAGACCACGACCUCGAAAGCGGACGAGGUAAAAGCUGGCCUCUGUAUACACGCUAGCACUUGCGGAUGGGCCGGCGGAGCAUCGGCUAGUUGGUAGGGUAACGGCCUACCAAGGCGAAGACGCGUAGCUGGUCUGAGAGGAUGAUCAGCCACACUGGAACUGAGACACGGUCCAGACUCCUACGGGAGGCAGCAGUGGGGAAUCUUGCGCAAUGGGCGAAAGCCUGAAGCAGCGACGCCGCGUGGGUGAUGAAGGCCUUCGGGUUGUAAAGCCCUGUGGGGAGAGACGAAUAAGUGCAGGCCAAUACCCUGCAUGAUGACGGUAUCUCCUUAGCAAGCACCGGCUAACUCUGUGCCAGCAGCCGCCGUAAGAC